AUAAAGGAACAGAUAAUUACAUGAGCUGUUAAAUGAACCCUCCUAUACUGGCACUUCAUUUUAUAGGCUAUUUCAUGGCCUAGAACAAAGUGUUUCUUCCCUGACAUGGUGAACAAGAGCAAGUUCCUACUCUCAUGGAGUUUACAUGUUCAAGGAAGACAGAGUAAACUUGAAGUCAGUAAUAUUUAGUUUCACAACCCAUCUGAACAGCAGAAUAUCGGGAGAACCACAACAGUCUUAGGAAGAAAUGAAAUUGCGUGUACCUGAUCUAUGAGUCGCUUUAUUAGAGGUAGCCCUUCUAGCGCUGAACUGUCACAGCCACUGGUCAACACACGUUCAAAUCCCAAGGCUA